rnacentral:rRNA from 1 species
UACGUAGGGUGCGAGCGUUGUCCGGAAUUAUUGGGCGUAAAGGGCUCGUAGGCGGUUUGUCGCGUCGGGAGUGAAAACUCAGGGCUUAACCCUGAGCCUGCUUCCGAUACGGGCAGACUAGAGGUAUGCAGGGGAGAACGGAAUUCCUGGUGUAGCGGUGAAAUGCGCAGAUAUCAGGAGGAACACCGGUGGCGAAGGCAGCUCGCUGGACGGUACUGACGCUAAGGCGCGAAAGCGUGGGGAGCGAACGAGGA